GGCUUAACACAUGCAAGUCGAGGGGCAGCAUGGUCUUAGCUUGCUAAGGCCGAUGGCGACCGGCGCACGGGUGAGUAACACGUAUCCAACCUGCCGUCUACUCUUGGACAGCCUUCUGAAAGGAAGAUUAAUACAAGAUGGCAUCAUGAGUCCGCAUGUUCACAUGAUUAAAGGUAUUCCGGUAGACGAUGGGGAUGCGUUCCAUUAGAUAGUAGGCGGGGUAACGGCCCACCUAGUCUUCGAUGGAUAGGGGUUCUGAGAGGAAGGUCCCCCACAUUGGAACUGAGACACGGUCCAAACUCCUACGGGAGGCAGCAGUGAGGAAUAUUGGUCAAUGGGCGAGAGCCUGAACCAGCCAAGUAGCGUGAAGGAUGACUGCCCUAUGGGUUGUAAACUUCUUUUAUAAAGGAAUAAAGUCGGGUAUGGAUACCCGUUUGCAUGUACUUUAUGAAUAAGGAUCGGCUAACUCCGUGCCAGCAGCCGCGGUAAUACGGAGGAUCCGAGCGUUAUCCGGAUUUAUUGGGUUUAAAGGGAGCGUAGAUGGAUGUUUAAGUCAGUUGUGAAAGUUUGCGGCUCAACCGUAAAAUUGCAGUUGAUACUGGAUAUCUUGAGUGCAGUUGAGGCAGGCGGAAUUCGUGGUGUAGCGGUGAAAUGCUUAGAUAUCACGAAGAACUCCGAUUGCGAAGGCAGCCUGCUAAGCUGCAACUGACAUUGAGGCUCGAAAGUGUGGGUAUCAAACAGGAUUAGAUACCCUGGUAGUCCACACGGUAAACGAUGAAUACUCGCUGUUUGCGAUAUACGGCAAGCGGCCAAGCGAAAGCGUUAAGUAUUCCACCUGGGGAGUACGCCGGCAACGGUGAAACUCAAAGGAAUUGACGGGGGCCCGCACAAGCGGAGGAACAUGUGGUUUAAUUCGAUGAUACGCGAGGAACCUUACCCGGGCUUAAAUUGCAGAUGAAUUACGGUGAAAGCCGUAAGCCGCAAGGCAUCUGUGAAGGUGCUGCAUGGUUGUCGUCAGCUCGUGCCGUGAGGUGUCGGCUUAAGUGCCAUAACGAGCGCAACCCUUGUUGUCAGUUACUAACAGGUUCUGCUGAGGACUCUGACAAGACUGCCAUCGUAAGAUGUGAGGAAGGUGGGGAUGACGUCAAAUCAGCACGGCCCUUACGUCCGGGGCUACACACGUGUUACAAUGGGGGGUACAGAGGGCCGCUACCACGCGAGUGGAUGCCAAUCCCAAAAACCUCUCUCAGUUCGGACUGGAGUCUGCAACCCGACUCCACGAAGCUGGAUUCGCUAGUAAUCGCGCAUCAGCCACGGCGCGGUGAAUACGUUCCCGGGCCUUGUACACACCGCCCGUCAAGCCAUGGGAGCCGGGGGUACCUGAAGUGCGUAACCGCGAGGAGCGCCCUAGGGUAAAACUGGUGACUGGGGCUAAG
rnacentral:rRNA from 1 species